GAUGAACGCUAGCGGCAGGCCUAAUACAUGCAAGUCGAACGGUGUCUUCGGACAUAGUGGCGCACGGGUGCGUAACACGUAUGCAACCUACCUUACAUUGGGGGAUAGCCUUUCGAAAGGGAGAUUAAUACCGCAUAAGACAGUAGCUGGGCAUCCAGCAGCUGUUAAAGAUUUAUCGAUGUAAGCUGGGCAUGCGUCCAAUUAGCUAGUUGGUGAGGUAACGGCUCACCAAGGCAAUGAUUGGUAGGGGAACUGAGAGGUCAAUCCCCCACACUGGCACUGAGAUACGGGCCAGACUCCUACGGGAGGCAGCGGUAGGGAAUAUUGGGCAAUGGACGCAAGUCUGACCCAGCCAUGCCGCGUGCAGGAUGAAGGCGUUAUGCGUUGUAAACUGCUUUUAUACAGGAAGAAACGACUCUUGCGAGAGGCAUUGACGGUACUAUACGAAUAAGCACCGGCUAACUCCGUGCCAGCAGCCGCCGUAAAAC
rnacentral:rRNA from 1 species